GUGCUCCCUUCGGCAGCACAUAUACUAAAAUUGGAACAAUACAGAGAAGAUUAGCAUUGCCCCUGUGCAAGCAUGAAGUGGUCCAUAUCUUUUAAAAAAAGAAUAUUAGU